AGUGAACGCUGGCGGUAGGCCUAGCACAUGCAAGUCGAACGGCAGCACAGUAAGAGCUUGCUCUUACGGGUGGCGAGUGGCGGACGGGUGAGGAAUACAUCGGAAUCUACUUUUUCGUGGGGGAUAACGUAGGGAAACUUACGCUAAUACCGCAUACGACCUACGGGUGAAAGCAGGGGAUCUUCGGACCUUGCGCGAUUGAAUGAGCCGAUGUCGGAUUAGCUAGUUGGCGGGGUAAAGGCCCACCAAGGCGACGAUCCGUGGCUGGUCUGAGAGGAUGAUCAGCCACACUGGAACUGAGACACGGUCCAGACUCCUACGGGAGGCAGCAGUGGGGAAUAUUGGACAAUGGGCGCAAGCCUGAUCCAGCCAUACCGCGUGGGUGAAGAAGGCCUUCGGGUUGUAAAGCCCUUUUGUUGGGAAAGAAAAGCAGCAGGUUAAUACCCCGCUGUUCUGACGGUACCCAAAGAAUAAGCACCGGCUAACUUCGUG
rnacentral:rRNA from 1 species